GAGUUUGGAGAACUCGCGCGCGUUUGUAGAAACGAGUCUGAAUAUUUUCCGACAAUUUAGAGUCUAGACUCUGGCAAACCCCCAUCAUCUGUCAACGGCGGCAGAAGAUGAAGCAGAGCUGUAGUUGAUGAAUUGCUACGUGUACUACUGUUUCUAUACACCUGUGUUUCGAGUUGAUAAGAAAAAUCACUCGUGCUGUUUAUGACAUUCACUCCUAUUAUUGUAGAAUUAAUACCACAUUUAUUAUUAUUCCUAUGCAUUACCUUUGAUUUCACCACUCAAGAACUUUGAAUAACCCUGCUUUGAAUAGUCCAUGCAUAUUAAUGUGAAGAUUGUGACCUCUGGCACUUGGUUUACAGUUAUUGGAAAUCACUAAGCUUUGGUCGACUGCCAGUAUUUCGAUUUAAUUAUUAUUAAUGCAAGUGGAAGACGCAACAAUUGAGAGAUGUCAUGAUAUGGAAAGGAUAUUAUUUACCUCACAUGAGAAGCAUU
ensembl:ncRNA lncRNA:CR46207 long non-coding RNA:CR46207